CCCUAGUAUGAUUUUUUAUAAAAUAUUAGUAAUUAUUUGAAAAUUAAUAAAUUUUGAUAGUUAAUUAUAUAAUUAGAGGAGCUUGUUUUUGAAAUAGAUUUUACUCUUUAUAUUUUUAUAUUUUAAGUGUUUAUUCAUCUCUGUUAUAGGAGAAUUUUAGUUUAUAUUUUUCAGGUCAAGAUGUAGCAAAAUAAAAUAUUUUAAAUUAGCUACAAUUAUGAAAUAUAUUAAUUUAUAUAUAAUUUGGAAAAUAAAUAUUAAUUUGAAUUUAGUUGUAAUUAUAAUUAGAAUAUUAUUAUGAUUUUGUAUAAUUAGUGU
rnacentral:rRNA from 1 species